rnacentral:lncRNA from 1 species
AUCAGUUGGACACACCAAGCUAGUAGCUGCUGCUUUCUCUCGCUGCUCGUCGCGCUAGCUGCGCGCCCCACUAGCUCCGGGACUGGCUGUGGGUGUUAUGCUAUAGCUCGCUGCUGCCCUCGAUGGCUGAGUUAUCUCAAUGUUGCUGAGACGGAGGCGAGGACGCCGCUGGCGUCGUUUCUCCUGGGUGCUGGUUUUCUUCCCGCUGCCGAGACGGGAGGGUGAAGUGAACAUACCCGGACGAGGCGAGGGCCGAAACUGUUUGGACCGCGGAUACGAGGGGUUGGUUCGUCUUCAUAAUAAAGUCAGUAUGGAGCCCUAAUAGGCCUGCAACGGGAGUUAUUUUUUAAUUUAAUUUAUCUGCCGGCUUUUUAUGUGUUUGUUUUGUGGGCCCACAUUUAAGAGUUAGAGAUAUCAGUUUUUAAAUUACCCUUAAGUUAAAAAUCACAAGUUGUCCAAAAAAGGGACUGAUUCUAACCUGCAUUGUUUAUAUGGAGGCUUAAAGUUGCCAAGUAGUCGAAUUAGGUAUUUUCAAUUUUUAUGAUGAUUUUCUCUAUUUGACUUCAAUACUUAAGGAAAGUUUAACUAGUGAUAAAGAGGUUUAUUGAGGUAAAAUCACAGCUAAGCACUUAUCUGUUAUGUUCAUGUUCAGGUGUGUUAGAGAUGAUGAUCUAAGGGUAGGUUUGUGACACUAAACAUAAAAAAAACAAAAACGCAUUACAUUGUGAAGAACCCAGGGCACUGUAUCUAAGGGUAGUUGAUACAAAGAAAGUGUUAUAUAUAUAUAUAUAUAUAUAUAUAUAUAUAUAUAUAUACACUCACCGGCCACUUUAUUAGGUACACCAUGCUAGUAACGGGUUGGACCCCCUUUUGCCUUCAGAACUGCCUCAAUUCUUCGUGGCAUAGAUUCAACAAGGUGCUGGAAGCAUUCCUCAGAGAGCUUGGUCCAUAUUGACAUGAUGGCAUCACACAGUUGCCGCAGAUUUGUCAGCUGCACAUCCAUGAUGCGACUCUCCCGUUCCACCACAUCCCAAAGAUGCUCUAUUGGAUUGAGAUCUGGUGACUGUGGAGGCCAUUUGAGUACAGUGAACUCAUUGUCAUGUUCAAGAAACCAGUCUGAGAUGAUUCCAGCUUUAUGACAUGGCGCAUUAUCCUGCUGAAAGUAGCCAUCAGAAGUUGGGUACAUUGUGGUCAUAAAGGGAUGGACAUGGUCAGCAACAAUACUCAGGUAGGCUGUGGCGUUGCAACGAUGCUCAAUUGGUACUAAGGGGCCCAAAGAGUGCCAAGAAAAUAUUCCCCACACCAUGACACCACCACCACCAGCCUGAACCGUUGAUACAAGGCAGGAUGGAUCCAUGCUUUCAUGUUGUUGACGCCAAAUUCUGACCCUACCAUCCGAAUGUUGCAGCAGAAAUCGAGACUCAUCAGACCAGGCAACGUUUUUCCAAUCUUCUAUUGUCCAAUUUCGAUGAGCUUGUGCAAAUUGUAGCCUCAGUUUCCUGUUCUUAGCUGAAAGGAGUGGCACCCGGCGUGGUCUUCUGCUGCUGUAGCCCAUCUGCCUCAAAGUUCGACGUACUGUGCGUUCAGAGAUGCUCUUCUGCCUACCUUGGUUGUAACGGGUGGUUAUUUGAGUCACUGUUGCCUUUCUAUCAGCUCGAACCAGUCUGGCCAUUCUCCUCUGACCUCUGGCAUCAACAAGGCAUUUCCGCCCACAGAACUGCCGCUCACUGGAUAUUUUUUCUUUUUCGGACCAUUCUCUGUAAACCCUAGAGAUGGUUGUGCGUGAAAAUCCCAGUCGAUCAGCAGUUUCUGAAAUACUCAGACCAGCCCUUCUGGCACCAACAACCAUGCCACGUUCAAAGUCACUCAAAUCACCUUUCUUCCCCAUACUGAUGCUCGGUUUGAACUGCAGGAGAUUGUCUUGACCAUGUCUACAUGCCUAAAUGCACUAAGUUGCCGCCAUGUGAUUGGCUGAUUAGAAAUUAAGUGUUAACGAGCAGUUGGACAGGUGUACCUAAUAAAGUGGCCGGUGAGUGUAUAUAUGUAUAUAUAUAUGUGUGUGUGUGUAUAUGUGUAUGUUAUAAAGGCGUUUGGCAGGGCACAGAUGAGUGAGGUUCUUGUAAUUGGUCCAAAUCAAAAAAGGGAUCUCAGCUCUUUUGAGCCAGUGCCUCCACUUCUGAAGUGCCAAGAUCACUUCCAUCAGCUGAUGAGUCACUUGUAGAAAAGGGCACAAGAAUGUAAUUUAUGAGUCUCUGGGUUCCAGCUAGAGUGACAGCACAGCACUCACUCCUGAGGCAUCAAUCUCGAUGGACGGACCACGGUUCCUCAGUGCUGGCAUAAAUUGUUAAACUGAGGUUCUGGUGGGCUUGGUUAGGGGAGCAGCUAUGUUGCUGUAGUCAUGGAGAUAUCUCCUGUAAAAGUCUGCAAAUCCUAAAAAGCUUUGGUAUUUCCUGCCUGCACCAUGACGUUGGACAUUCAAACAACAGCUUGAAUUUUUUAAAAGGAUCUGGUUUUUGCUGCCCUCGACUGAUGAUGUAAUGAUGACCACAUUUCUCUGGUUUUAUAAAGAGUUUAUUUUUAAGUAGCUUCUGGAGCAGCGCAGAUGUGUGUGCUUUUCAAAAUACCAGGAAAAGAUUAAGAUGUUAUUGAGGUGUAUGAAGAAGAAUCUGUUCAGCAUGUCCAUAACACAUCAUCUAUCAGGGCCUGGAAGAACCAAAAAUGUAGCCAGCUUAUCAAAGAGGCCAACCAGAGUAUUGAAUACCAUCUUCCAAAUGAGAAAGUAGGCACUGUGCAAAUCUGUCCAUCCAUCCUUCCAUCCAUCCAUUCUACCUCUUAUCUCGUUGGGGGUUCACAGGGAUGUGAAGUUUUCCUCCCACAGCCCACCUGGAGUAAACCCAUGCAGACACAGGGAGAAUAUGCAAACUCCAUACAGACACACCCUGACCCGGAUUUGAACCCAGACCCUUCUUGCUGUUAAGCAACAGUGCUAACCACUACAUUAUUGUGCAAAUCCAGCUUAAUGACUACCUGGGCAUGGCACAGGGGCUUGGAGGAGGGAUUGAUGAGGGGUGAGUGUUAUGACUGUGGUCAUUUAUGUAUUUUGAUUGCUUAACUUAUUGACUGACAGCUCUGUCUCUCCUUCCCUCCUCUGCAGUGGAAAUCGGCGUCUGUGUGUGAGGGAUGAGCUGCAGGUGUGUGGGUGCUGCUGAUGGUUCCUGUGAUUUCAUUGCUGCAGGCUGAUUGCCACGUCCAACCACCAGUUUGUGUGAUGUUUUUGCCUAGUCUAGUGAAUCUAAAGACAGUCUAAUUUGUGAAUAAUUGUGAAUAUUUUUACUUUUGUAUUUAGUGGCAGUUGUAGGAGGGAGAAGCCAUUUUGUUUUAUGUCUCGUUUUCUCAGUUUUUGUUAGGAGUUAGGUUACCUGUUGUCUUAUGUUUUACAUCUGUUUUACUAUAGGUAAGUUAGGGUCCUUGGUUUAGCUGUUUUUGUUUCUUGUGUUGGCAUUGUUACCCUCCGAAGCCAAUAAAAACUACCUUUCUGCGAACUUUAAA